rnacentral:pre_miRNA from 1 species
UCCUAUGGACGAGCAAAGAAAGUGGCUUCUUGAGCUGGAAUCUACUCCUGGUGAAGACACUGUGAA